UCGUCCAAAAUUUCUUUUUUGAGCGUACCAUUUUUAAUAUUUCAACCUUAAAAAUGAAAUAAUUUGUUUUAUCUACUCUUUCUAUCUCUUUAUUCAUUUAUUCUAUUUCUCUUUUAUUUUUUCACUACUGUCUGUAUCUCUCCCCAUUUACUUUAUCUAUAUUUUCUUAAUUUACAUGUCUCUUAUUUGGGAUGUUAAGGGAUGGAAUAUAACACAAGAAAGAUUGUUAGAGCCUCAACACCACAACUCGUGGAGAGGGGAGAGCCGCACAAUGCUGCGGGGGAGGGGGGAGGGACAAGGCGUGAGCCUGGCACACGAGGAAAGAGAAGAUGGUGCGUGGAGGCCACAACCCAAUAAAAAGAAGUAUGAAAUAACGGUCAUUUGAUCGAAAUUUUUGAUUUUUUAUUACUUAGGGACAUAGUCGUUCACUCAUUCUCGAAGGCAUUCUUCAUUUUUUUUCUUUCUUUUUAAUUUCUCCUAUAUAUACCUCAUUCAUUUUACAUCACGUUUUUCUCUUCAUCUUCUAUUCUUCUUCGUUGUCUUUUCAUUCCAUUAUCUCUAUUUCGUUUUAAAAAAAUGGAUCAUAAAUGGAGAAAUUAGUGGAGCAAUCAACAAAAUCAAGCUUCAUCGUUGGGGAUUCCAAAUUCAUCCCCUACGCCUUUUCACCAUUUUCUCAAUAAUCGAAUGCCUUCACUCCGGGCGGGUCUUGAGGGGAUCAACUUAAACAAAAAUUAAUUUAUUCAAGAUGAUGAAGUGGCCAUGAUACUCGCCCUGCCAAAGACGAUCAAACAACGCGGUAUACACUCCGGGGGAGACGGAGCUCAUUUGCAUAUUAUGGGUUGAGACGACGCUCAACGUCAUCAAGGGAGCCUAUCAAAAGGCCCUCGUGUAUUGGAGGGAAAUCACGAAGAAAUACAAAGAGCAACGACCACCCAACACAAUUCCAUGCGACUACAAGCAAAUGAAGUCACACAUCCAACAUGUCAAAAAUGAUGUCAAAGUUUGGGAGACAAUAUAUGAAAAAUGUCGUUCAAAUUAGUGGAACGGUAUGAGCGAUGAUCAAAUCAUUACGGCGACGCAAGAAAUUUAUCAAAACGAAUGUAGAAGUCAAUUCAAAUACUCCGGUGCUUGACAUAUUCUCCGUGAAUCUCAAUGAUUCGCAUUCACUGGCAACAAUGUGUACUCUUCGAAGCAUUUCGAAGGGCUCUGAUGGGGUUUGCAUUGUGCAGAUCACAAGAUCCAAAGGAAAUGAGCAUCUCGUACCUCAGAAUUUGGAGAUUGAGAAACAACAUAAGACAGACAACCGUGAGAAGAUGAAGCAAGCUAUGUCAGACAAUUUUGAUCCCGCAGAGAUUAUACGCCAGAUGACAAGAAUUUCGACAAUUUCAUCUAUAUAAAUGUUUUUUUUUUCAUUAUAUAAUUUUGGUUAAAAUAGGUGGGACUCUUAAGUCUUAACUACUCCCUUCCAUCCUAUUAAAAAUGACUCAUUUUAUAUUUUGGGUGGGUCGUCCCAUUUAAAAUAA